rnacentral:tmRNA from 1 species
GGGGACGUAAAGGUUUCGACGGGGAUUUUGAAGCCGGAGGAGCGAGCAGCGGCGGGAACCGCUUAAAAAGCCCGAAUUUUUAAAAAUAAACGCUAACGAUAAUUUAGCUUACGCUGCCUAAUUAAAGGCAGCCGUUCUUACCGGGAGGACCACGGCCCGGAUAAGAGCGUCAUUUUGUGGUGAACGUGAGCAGACAAAGCUUUGAGCCUGCCAUGAAUAAUGAAGCUACUGAGCAUGAAAGCUUGUUUGUGAGCUUUUAUGUAAGGGAAUGUUGAUCACAAACUGCGCUCGGAGAGCCUCUUGUGGAUGGAUUUUCGGACAGGAGUUCGAUUCUCCUCGUCUCCACCA